CCUGAACCAAUUUUUGAACAUAAUAUUUUUAAACACAUUUUUCGGCUUGAUAUUCUAUGUGUUGCAUAAAGACUUACAUAUUGGCUAAAUAAAAAAAUCUUCACCGUAGGAAUAUUUCAGUCUAGAUAGGCAAUGACAAGUAUGAACAAAGAAAAAUCAUUUUUCAGUGGUCAUCUAGACACUUCUGCGAUUCUCCCUUUCUCCGACGAGCUCAUUAAGUCCGCGAUUUUUUCAGUCUCCCACAAAUAAGUUAAAGGAUGUUUUAUCAUUUGAUUUUCAUGAUGAGUUGCAUAUCUAUUUGAGGUAGCCAAGAGCCAACAACCUCAAACUCCACAUUCACUAUUUACCGUGUUGGAAGAAAAGUGUUUGGGAGCUUAUUGCAUGACCAAAGGAUGGGAAGAACAGUUUGAUACUGCUAAGUCCUACUUGGACAAAGCAACUAAGCAGAUGAAUAAAUUUGUGGACUACAAGAGGCGUUCCACAAAAAAUAGAGUUGGGUACAUGGUCAUAGUGAAAUUUAGCCCAAGACAGUUUAAGAAGCCACGAUGGAUGCACCACAAUCUAUUCCGCAAAUGUGAUACAAAUGCCUCCACAUCUUAAGAUUCAUCUUGUCUUCUAUGUCAACAUGCUAAGUCAUACUACGAAGACAAAGAUGACCCAAAUAGAGGUCAAUCGAGUCGUGCGCCUAUUACUAUCACUGCCUUACAUGAUCGAAAGAUUAAGUAUAUCAUUGACUAUCAAGCUAGGCGAAAACAAGGUUAACAAGCUACAAUCAUGUUCCUCAUCCAUUGGAAUGGACAAUCACUAGAAGAAGCCACAUGGAAGCGGUAUGAAGACUUGUGGCAAGUCAAAGAAGAGAUCACAUAAUUUAUGCAAUAAUAAUGCGUGCAGUCCUCGCAACAUCAGGUGGGGAAAGUCUAAUAACCCACCACGUCAUCACACCACAUAGAUGCUAAGUGGCAUAAAGUUGUCUAUGUGGAAGCUUAGAAGACUAGCAUUGAUAUAUUGUUUUUCUUGGAAGAUUUUAGAAUUACAUAGAAGUCUUUGGAAGGUUCUACAAUUGUAGAGUAUUCAAGAGAAGGGACUUAAUUGUAAAUAUAUAGGGACUUACAUUACAAAUAUUAUUUACAUAUCAAUUCCUAAGAUAUCAGUAUAAAUACAGGGGCAAUCAUUUGUAUAAUCAUAAAGCAAAUAUCAACAAAGUUCUCUACUAUUCAAUAUUUCUUAACAA